GGUGCUUGAAAAGAAAUGGGCCCUUCUUUCAGAAGGGCUCCAAGUCCUUAGUUGGGCCAUCACCGGCAUGGGACCUCAUUGCCAGCAACUUCUAGGGCUGUUCCCAACCAUCUUUGCAGCAGGUUCAAGGGGGGUGACUUGAAUGUCUCUCGUUUCCCGAGUGAGAGAUCAGGUUUAUCCCACAUCACACCUACUAUGAGGGAUUUUUCUGACAUCAUUUCAGAACAGGCACUUAUGGAUAUUCCGCUAACGGGAGGUUCGUAUACUUGGUCUAACACUCGUGAACUUCCAUCCUGGUCGAGAAUUGAUAGAUUUUUGCUAACUCCAAAAUGGGAGUUACAUUUUCCAGAGGUAACUCAGAGAAGAUUACCUAGGGUAUGCUCAGACCACUUCCCCAUCCUUUUAGACUAUGGAGGCAUCCAAGGAGGCAGAAGGUAUUUUAAAUUCAAAAAUAUGUGGCUUAAGACUGACGGUUUUGUAGACAGGGUACGACAAUGGUGGUCUUCUCAUGAUUUCCAAGGCUCUCCAAGCUUCAUAAUCGCGAAAAAGCUAAAAGCGCUGAAACAAGAUUUGAAGUAAUGGAAUGAACAAGUCUUUGGCAAUGUAGGUCUACAACGACGCUCCCUUCUAGAGGAGCUACAGGGUUUGGAGGGUAAGGAG